AGGACGAACGCUGGCGGCGUGCUUAACACAUGCAAGUCGAGCGGAAAGGCCCUUCGGGGUACUUGAGCGGCGAACGGGUGAGUAACACGUGAGCAACCUGCCCUUAGCUUCGGGAUAGCUCCGGGAAACCGGAAUUAAUACCGAAUAUGACUUUGGCUGACAUCAGCAGAAGUGGAAAGUUUUUCGGCUAGGGAUGGACUCGCGGCCUAUCAGCUAGUUGGUGAGGUAACGGCCCACCAAGGCGACGACGGGUAGCCGGCCUGAGAGGGCGACCGGCCACACUGGGACUGAGACACGGCCCAGACUCCUACGGGAGGCAGCAGUGGGGAAUAUUGCGCAAUGGGCGAAAGCCUGACGCAGCGACGCCGCGUGGGGGAUGAAUGCCUUCGGGUUGUAAACCCCUUUCAGCAGGGACGAAGCGAAAGUGACGGUACCUGCAGAAGAAGCGCCGGCUAACUACGUGCCAGCAGCCGC
rnacentral:rRNA from 1 species